CCACAGUAUGCUUGCCAGGAAUGCCC
rnacentral:piRNA from 1 species